rnacentral:lncRNA from 1 species
CCGGUUAGUUCUCUUGAUGAAUCAUCUAGUUCCUCUCUGCGCUUUUUACCCAUGAGAACGAUUACAUCCUGAGCUUUGUGGUCUCUUAUUGCUUACAGAACGUUGGUGUGCAUUACGAGACAUGGAAUACUGGGGUUCUUGGCCCUAUCACACUGAAUGGAGUUAACUCCGGAACAUGGGACAUGUCUAAAUGGAAAUGGUCCUACAAGGUCGUCCUGAAAUUCAAGAGCAAAUAACUUGACUUUGUUGUUACUGCAUCUUUCCAACCAUCUAACAAUGAACCAAACAUUUUUUUUUUUUUUAAAUCAGAUUGGUACAAAGGGUGAGGCUUUAAGCCUUCAUACCGUAACGGGGAGUUCCUCUGUGGAAUGGAAAGAAGGAUCAUUGGUGGCAAAGAAGCAACCCUUGACCUGGUACAAGGUACGAGAAACAGAAGGAUCAUGCCUACCAACAAACAAAGUUAGAUCAAUAUAUAAUGAAAACUGAAAGACAUUCUUACAAUCUCUUUUUGCAGUCUACUUUUGACACACCAGCAGGCAAUGAACCAUUGGCUUUGGACAUGAACACAAUGGGAAAAGGCCAAGUCUGGAUAAAUGGCCAGAACAUCGGACGCCACUGGCCUGCAUAUACAGCUCGUGGGAAAUGCGACCGCUGCAGCUAUGCUGGAACUUACAGCGAGAAGAAAUGCUUGAGUAACUGUGGAGAAGCUUCUCAAAGAUGGUGAGUGAGGAAAACUACCUAAUCUUCUUCUUCUUCUUCUUAAGGCCAAAUCUGAUUCAAAGGGUUGAUUUUUUUUCUUCUUGGUUUCAGGUACCAUGUGCCUCGUUCGUGGGUGAAGCCGUCAGCGAACCUUAUAGUUGUACUUGAGGAGUGGGGAGGUGACCCCAAUGGGAUCUCUCUUGUAAAAAGAACAGCCAAAAAAACAGCUCUUGACUCCAUUUUUGCAGGAUAAAAGCUGUAAUUUUUGUGUGACCCUCCUCUGCAAAACAAAGGCAGAGUUGUAAUACAGAUUGUAUGUACAUAUUUGGAUAUUAUACUGGCUCAUAUGGAUGAAAAUUUCAUCCUUUUCCUGCCUAAUUAUAGACAACUAUAUAAAAGAAUAUCUAAUCUGCUUAGAGAAUUUCCAAUUUUCAUUUUCUUCUCUAUCUUCACCGAGCUCACUCUUGUUUAUGCUCAAGAAGAUAAGAUCAAACCCGCCGGUUUGAUUGAAUUCAAUCAAUUUUGGAGAAUACUGAGGUAGAAUCGAGCUCCCGAAACUGUAAAUUACAAUUGAUUGAUGAUGAUCUUAAGACGCAACAAAAAUUUUCACAACAAGAAAAAAUACACAGAAUUAGUACUGACGGAUCUGAGUUACCGUGAAGCAGAUAGGAAAGAUCGUUGGUACCAAAAGCUUAAAUACAGAAUUAUAGCCGAUGUCCAGAGUCAGAGAACGUUUAAGCUCCGAGAUGGCUAGUCCCAUAAACGAAGAAGAAGACUCUUCUUGACUAUCGAAAUCGAUUUCAUUUAGGAGUGUUGUUGGGCCUCCAAUAACAAAGCCCAUGUAAAGGGAAACCUAACAUUUGAG